rnacentral:misc_RNA from 1 species
GGAAGAAGGGACAAUAGGGCUUGCAGCUCUAGUGUCUCAACCAAAAAAAGAAAAAAUUUGGAUCAUUCUCUCCAUCUCCACCCAUUCCUCCUCACAGUAGUCUCUCACCAUGGUGGAAACUUAGUUGUCUCUCUUUACCACAGCAAAUCAGUUCAUGAAAAGAAGUGAGAGAAGAAUUGCAGAGGUGAGUAGUAACCCAAAGCCCAAUAAUUCCGAUAAAAAAAAAAAUCCAUCUUUGGCCAAAAUUUUCAACGGUCCAGCUCUUAGAAAGAAAGCCAAAUUAAUUUGCUUACCUUGAUGAUCUUGUAUUGUUUUUCUUUUCACCACGAGCGUUGUAUUGAAUGAAGGAGGAGAACGGAAUCGCCCUUGUAGCUGUCAACUCUUGUUUCUAGUUUUUGGCUUCAACGAAUUAACCAUACCUUCCUUUAUCUCCUCUAGAAACCUAAUACUGCAUACCCAUCGAUUCAGUUGAGAAUUGAAAGGGGAGAUAUAGAUUGAAGAGCUUAAGAGUGAUGAUUCACUCAACACUAGCAGAACUUAUGCACUUGCAAAUUGCCAUGGAGAUCACUUGAGUAUACUUUACCAGCC